AGGAAAGGGAGAGGAGGCCAGGAAGGAGAUGCACAGGAGAUGGCCACGAACCAGCAGUAAACUUCCAGAUUCUAAACACUGGCCCUUACCCCAGGCAUCGAGAGACCUUUCCGAGACAGCGAACUGGCCAGGCCCCCAGUGAAGGUCUGUGGAAGAAUCAUAGGCUUUGAUCCCCCUUCAUAACUGGAAGCCUCACACAAAAGCUCUUUGACAUCUCAUCUGUCAACGGAGAGGGCGGGGAUCCCUGGAAGAAGAGAGACGUGCUGGCAGGCAGACGCGGUGGAACUCACAUCAGUUCGGUUCAGGAUUAUACAUAGUGUCUGUGUCCCUUUACCCAGACUUCCACUUCUGGGAAUGAUCCCUCAGGUAAACUCCCACUGUGGAGUAUGGACUCCACACUGUACACAAAGGACUGAGAAAGCCCAUCAGUAGAGGCUGGUUAUAUACAGCAUCCGUACAGGGAGCGCCAUAAACCGGGAAAAGAAAAAGUAUGUCUUAUAUUUAACGCAGUCUCCAAGGUAUUGAAAGACCCCCGGAGCGGGGAGACCCUCACUCAAAUCUCGGGAUGACGGGACCCCCCAAGAACUCACACAAGACCUUCUUUGCUGUAAUCACAUGAGGUUUAUCGAUAGUAACCAGUGCACUGGGGUCGAGACUCUAUCCCACGCAGGGGCAGUGGACUUCAACCCCGAGAGGCUGGGAGAAGAGGUAUUUAAAGGGAGAAACCACAACCUGAGGGGUCAGGGAUGGCAUCAUUGGAAAGUGUGUACAAUAACAGUGAAAAAUCACAAGGAAAAACUCUGUUUUUCAAGAUUGUUUCCUAGGAGAAGCUGUCUCCUGCUUCUCAGAUUGUUUAACUCCAUGGUCUGCUAGUUCCUAGGAGAAACUGCUUCCUGCUUCUCAAGAUUGUUCUUUAAGAUUUAUGGUCAGCUAGUUUCUGGGAGAAAGCUGUUGAGCCAGUCAUUGUAAUUACCCAUUCUAUAGCCCUUUCUUUCUUCUGCUCUAAACUUUGUGUCUAGGGGGGCAACUUUAAAACUUUUACCUUUCAGUGUGUUUAAGAAAAACUAAGCACAGGGGCACUUAUCUGGUCCAACACCACACCCAUAAUCCCAGCAUUUGAGAGGUGGGUGAAGGAGGACCAAUAUACUUCAAGGCCAUCUUCGAGUACCUGGCAAGUUAGGAGCCAGCCUGGGCUACAAGCAACACUGUCUUAAAACAAAAUGGCUUUAAUCCAGGGCUGGGGAAGCAGACAGAUCGUCGAGAUCAAGGCCAGCUUGGUCUACAGAGUGACUUUGCUACACAUAGACACUUUCCUGUCUUGAAAAGGUAAAUCGAAUGAAACAAAAACGACUUCUAUGUGUCCUAAUGUGGAUGAGACUUUAAAGAUGUUAUGCUAAGUAAAAGAAACCUAAGCUGGAGAGGUGUGCAACAGUUAAGAGCACCUACGGGGCAGCUCACAACUAGCAUUGAUGAUGUUCACAGGUGAGCAAACGUAUACAGGAGAGUGAGACAUUCAUACAAAAUAAUAAAAUAGACAAACACCAUUCUGUUUCGGUGACAUGUUGGAAUAGGUAAAUCAAAAAGAAAAAAAGUUAAAGAGACAACAUAGAUAAGUGGUCACCGCACUAAAAGAUGAGAAGUUUCUUCACCCCCCAUUUGGUUUCUGAUACAAGGUCUUGCUAUAUAAAAUAUGCAUUAGGCUAGCCUGAAACUCAGAUCGACCUGCCUCUUGCCCCUGAGUAUUGGGAUUGAAGAUGUGGACCACCACACCCACAUAUGGUUUCUUUUUCUUGUGGAUGAUCAAAUGUUCUGAAAUUAGUAGUAAUAGUUGCACACAUCUGUGAAUGCACUCAAACCCACUGAAUUACAUGCUUCAUUUAAAAGCUGAAACUCAGGCUGGGGUUAGGGCUUUGUAGGUGGAGUGUUUGCCUAGCAUGCUCAGGUCAUAGGUUCAGUCUCCAGCAUUGCCUACAUCAGGUGUGAUGGCACAUGCCUGUAAUUCCAACACUGGGAUGUGGAGGGGGAAACUUCACGGUCGUUUUUCUGAUACAUAACAAAUGUGAAGGCAGUGGGAGAUUUAUAGGACCUUGUUUAGCUUAUCUUCCCCAACUGCAUGCGUGUGCGCAUGUGUAUGCAUGCACACACACACACACACACACACCAGAAACAAAUUUGUUGCAUGUAUUAUAUCAGAAUAAAGUCAGAUCAUUAACUUUUGAGUCAGUCUUGCUGGCCAAGGCUUGCCUUAAACUCAUUAUCUCUACCUCAGCCUCCUGUGAUUAUGGGCAUCUGCUCCUGACAGGAACAUUAUUUGUUUUGAAAAGAGUAAUAUGGGGUUGGGGAUUUAGCUCAGUAGUAGAGCGCUUGCCUAGCAAGCGCUAGGCCCUGGGUUCGGUCCCCAGCUCCGGAAAAAAAAAGAAAAAAAAGAAAAGAAAAGAGUAAUAUGAAGACAUCUUCAGAUAACAAAAACAGAACCCAUGGGCCUUUACAAAGGAAACCUCUGGUGUGUUUAAGAAAAAAAAAAAAAAAGAAAAGAAAACUGAGGUCAAAAGGAAAUAAGCUGCCAAGACAAAGUGGUUAAAUAUUUAGAAAGCACAUGGGUGCAUUCAAAUUAUGGUGACUUGAAACUAUUUUUUAAUAAUAAUGAUUAGUGUGGGAAAGUAAAGAUAAGAUGAGGGCUGAGAGAUGGCUCAGUGGUUAAGGGCACUGACUGCUCUUCCAGAGGUCCUGAGUUCAAAUCCCAGCAACCACAUGGUGGCUCACAACCAUCUGUAAUGGGAUCUGAUGCCCUCUUCUGGUGUGUCUGAAAACAGCUACAGUGUACUUAUAUAUAAUACAUAAAUAAAUAAAUCUUUAAAAAAAAAGUUAAGAUGAAGGGGUUGGGGAUUUAGCUCAGUGGUAGAGUGUUUGCCUAUCAAGCGCAAGGCCCUGGGUUCGGUCCCCAGCUCCAAAAAAAAAAAAAAAAAACAAAACAAAACAAAAAAAGAUAAGAUGAACUAAGAAAACCCUGGCAAACAUUGAAAAUGGCAACAGGAAACUGAGUGUGGUGUUGAAUAUCUACAGUCGUAGUGCUCAAGACUCGAGGCCUGAGCCGUUUCAAUGUCAACUUCAACUGUAUUAUGAGUUCAAAGUCAGCCUAGGCUUCUGGGGCCAGCCUAGGCUUCUGGGGCCAGCCUAGACUACUGGGACCUUCUGUCUUGGUUAGUCUUGAUUAUCAACUUGAUGGAAUUUAGAAACCCCAUGGAAACAAAUCCUCAUAGGAAGUAACUACGGUGCUUUAUUUCACAAUGGAUUUUGUCAGAAUACUUCACUACGGUAAUAGAAAAGUAUCCACCACACUAUUUCACAAUGGGGGCAGAAACCUUAGGGGACUGAGAUAAAAGGUGAGCCAAUCUUUUUGUUUGGAAGGAAAGUAGAUACCACUUUAGACUUUUUAUAUCUUCAAAGGAAAAUACUAGCCAGGCUUAGUGGUUAUUUAAUCCCAACACUCACAAGACAGAGGCAAGUGGAUCUCUGUGUGUUUGAGGUCAUUCUGGACAGUCAAAAUUACAUAACCCUUCCCCCCCAUCUCUUUCUCAAAAAAAAAAAAGAAAAGAAAAGAAAAAGAAAGAAAGAAAGAAAGAAAGAGAGGAAAGAAUAAAAUACUUAGAUCUUAUUCUUUCUCCCUAUCUUGAACUUUUUAAUUUUCAAAUCAUUAAGUAGAGCAGAGCAAAGUUCACAGGUAGCCGUAGUAACCUGAGGGGCUGAGGCAGGCUAUUGAAGCUGAGUGUGAAGCUAGGUGAGUCAUUUCCUAACCCUAACACUGAGGAGGUUGAGAUAGCAUAGAGAUAGCCUGGGCCAACUCCAGCUACAUAUCCAAAACUGGGAUGGGCAGGGAUCUGGAAGAGGAAGGAAAGAAGAAAGGGAGAAAAUAAAAGAGGGAAAAAAUUCAAUACUAAACAACACCCCCAGCAGUUUCCCCCUGGACAGGAGGAUGUGUGACCGAAUGUAAAGGUCUUCUGUUCACUGCUGGACCUCCGUGUGAGACAUGUUCACUAAGUGCUGGAUAAGUGAGUGGAUGGAUGCUUGGGCCACACACUUCUGGGCCUUGCCUGAAAGUCGUUUCUCACAGUAGCCUCGGUUUUAGUACCAGCCCCCCACCCCAGCUCCCCUCCUUGACUUCACUGUCUCCCUAUUGCCCAACACCACGAAAUCCAUCUCAUUUAUUGACUACUUUCUCCCACUAGAUUGUGGUUCUGUGAGAGUGAGAAUUCAGAUUGUCCCAAAAAUUGCUACAUACCUAAACCCGGAACAAUGCCUGACCAUAAAUAGGUGCUUUUUUAUUUACUGAAUGAACCAUGUGCUAUAAAUGAGUUAUUUCCAUAACAUUUUGGAAAUAAAACAGCUACUGGGUUACUACCA